AGAUUCAGCCCUUUGUCGC
rnacentral:snRNA from 1 species